ensembl:snRNA U6 U6 spliceosomal RNA
GUGCUUACUUCAGCAGCAUAUAUACUAAAAUCAGAAUGAUACAGAGAAGAUUAGCAUGGCCCCUGUGCAGGGAUGACACAAAAAUUUAUGAAUCGUUAAAAAAAAGA